AUGUUAUUUUUUUUCCCCCUUCUAAGCACUUCCAAGAACUUCUUGAUUGUCGUUUAUGGAUUCUUCAUGAAAUUCGGGUUUGUUGGCUUGGAUGGACCAAGUGUCGGUUUCACUGGAAAAACUCUGAUGGUGUCUGAUGAAUGGCACAGAGGAUUGGCCAUAGAUGUGCCUUGCUGCUUUUCAAAAAGGGGUAAUUAAUCUUUAUUAAAUUAUGUUACAGUCCCUGUAAUACUUUUCAUUUGGCAGCUGUCUUUAAAAACAAUUUUUGGACCGCUAUUUCAUGCAAGUUAAGCUCCUGUCUAUUUUAAUAGGUAAAUAGCAAAGUCUCCAAAAGCUGUUCACCAAGCUUAUGAAUGAAUUUCAUAUUUAAAAUACCAGUGAAAUAUGUUGUUCCAACAACUGUCUCAUAGUGUUAAAGUUAUUUUUCAGCACAUGUGCAGUUCCAAGGCACUAUACAUUAUGCACUUAAUACACCAUGUACUUAUGCACUAUGCACAUAAAUGGUCUAAUGUUUGAACUUUAUAAGGUUAUUUUGUCAUUCAGCAUUGGAGUCUGAAAGCCCCACACCUUCCACUACCUAAUUAAAGCUAAAGCAGUUGAGUACACUUUCUUCCAUUCAUAAUUAUAUGAGUGUACCAUAU
rnacentral:lncRNA from 1 species